UGCAGACAAUGUGUACAUGGCAUACAUGUUACUCAAUCCAGACUAUCAAUACACGGGCCUGUCGCAGAUGGGCUGUAGUCUGGGAAUCAUACUGACAAAUGGUCAUAACUGCUGAUUGGUGGGAUAUGAUGAACAGAAUGAUAAGUAGGCAACGGCUGAAAUUCAGAGGUUUGAUGACCCAAGCUAGAUUGGGACAGAAAGUAGUUGCAGAAAACAUGCUAGAAUUUUCAGCAAAAAUCACUGCAAAAAUUUAUUCUCGUGCAUUAUUCAAGCACACCAUCAGCUUUCUCCCCACUGCUGCUACUGAACAAUCGUGAUGCAAACGUGAAAGGAAAAGCUAAUAAAUUAAUAAGAAAAGAAAGAGAUUGUGGGAAAAGACCCAACAAUCCUCUAGCCGAAUGUUAGAGAUCACAAAUGCAAGACUGUGAGCAAGCUCAACAGUCUUCUAGUCUAGAACUAGAGACCACUCUCCCUACCUUCAACAGCCACCAUAGAGAAAAUAAGAGAAUUUCAUAAAGAGAAUAUUAAUCAGCUUGUCUUAUUCCAUAGGCCAUAGUUCCUAUUUAUAAUCAACCUCACAAUCUGUAAUAAAAGAUAUGGAAUCUAAAAAUCUAUGAAAAUGGGAAAGCACCUAAAUAACAAAGCAUUCUAAUUAAGAAAAUGCCUAAAAUAAAAAGAUACUUGGAUCAGAAAAUAUGUAAAAUUAUUCCCUGCCUAAAAUGGAGAUAUGAAAGAAAGAGUAGAUUUCCUAAUCCAGAGAUUAGAAAGAAAUGGGAAGUGAUAUUGGGCUAAAAAAAGGAAGGUGGUUCUUUUCUUGUACACACGUGUGAAGCAUGAGAUGCGGGCCUUUUCUUCAAAUCUUGUUCAAUCGGCACGUGUGGCCAUUUAGUUGCAUCAAAUCACUCCCUUAAAUCUAUGACUGUAUCACAUUUUCCUAUUCCAAAGCAUCUACCGUAUAAAAACGCAGCAAAUUUCUGUUGGACUUUGAAAUUUCAUGAUAGCAUGGCAUGCGUAUAUAGGUAUGCUUAUAUAUUUAAGGUGAGUUCUGUAUUUCCCUUUUGGGAUUCAAACACUAUCUGAAAGUACUACUUUAAUUUUGAAUCCCCAUUGGUCAUAAAAAUUUUGGAAUCACUUCUCCCAGAUGGUUAGAGAAUCCCCUCCAAAUCCUGCUUGGCUAGGGUUUCCCGCUGAAUUAUUGUUGAAGUUGAGCUUAUACCAACUGAUCGAAGGGGCUUCCCAAAUGGCAGUGGCUUUCACUGGAAAAGACUUGCAAUCAAGCACCUCCUCCCAAUUCAACACAAAGAGAGAAGGGUGGAUCCCAGAGUGCCUUUAAAUUAUUCAGUCCACUCCACCAUUGCCGACAAAGAUUUCUUGAAAACAACAUUAGCAGUUUGCAUCUUUGUUGGAAAGUCCUGUUUCUUUCUACCGUAAGUUUCAAAAAAUCGCUUUAACCGCAAGCUUCCUAACUGCUUUUCUGACUAGCCCUAGGAUUUUUAGUUCCGCCAAGCAACCAAAUCCCCAAUUGAAGCAGGUAAUGACCAACUAAUCUUGAAUCUAGCAGAGACUUCUGACCAACUCUUCGUGAAUGCCCAAUGCAACAAUAAAUGUGGAACACUUUUGGCUGUUCCACAGCACAUCACACACCUGCUUGGUGUCUAAACAACUCUUGCAGCUGCUUACUAGAAAAAACAUGGAAAUGUGGCCACAUUUGGAUAUAACAGUUUGAUAAUAGUUGGAUGAGAGGAGAGUCUGUGCACCAUUGGUCCGUACUGAAUCCUGCUGACACCCCCAACCCUAAACCUUGUGUUCAAGAAGAAAUCCAUAUCUAUCUUGGAUAUUAAUCUCCAAAUGGCUGAGGCCUUCCUUCCCGUAGUUGCUUUGAUGUCCCACUUAUUUGCAGCAAUCCUGUAAUUGUCUUCGAUGUUCUUCUCAUAUUUGAGAUGGUUCAACCUCCACCACCAUGUAAGCCAAUAGAGUGACAAUUAGCAUCCUGGGCUGCCCUAAUGCCCAUGCCAUCUUAUCUCAUCGGUUUCCAAACGUUUGUCUGAGUAACUAGGUGGGAUUUAUGGUAGUCCUCCCUAAUAUUCUUAAAAAAACUAUUUUUUUUGAAGGUUUCGAGUUUGGUUGCCGCUUUUGUGGGGGACAGUAGAACAGGGACAAGGGAUAUAGUAAGGACUGCUUUGAGAAAGGUGAUCCUGCCUCCCGAGGACCACUUAGAUUUCCAAAUUAGUAACUUACCAGUGCACUACUCGAUGAUGAUGCCCCAAGCUUACAAUGGAGGUUUUCUAGGACCCAAGGGAAUCCUAAAAUUCUUAUAGGAAGGAUCGUUACCCCGCAACAUAUUGAUGAGUCUAUUACUUUGACAAUUGCUACCUCUAACUCUCGAGAUUAUGCUCUUAGAAAUAUUUAUCCUCAGCCCCAAACCCACCUCGAAACAUCGUACAAUUUCCUUGUAGUCCUGAGCUUCCUUUGGAAACUCGUUGAAAAUCAGUGUCAUCAUCAUACCUUAUAUGUGUCAAUGGCUGAGAUAACACCAUAAAUGGGUAACCCCUUAAUUGAACCCAUGUUGACAACCUGCUCCAACAUUAUGUUGUUAUUGCACAACGAUUGUGAAAAGGGAUGGAGAGAGAGCGUCCCCUUCAUGGAGACGCCUAUGACUCGAAGAAACCAAUUGGAAUGCAUUAAUCAAAAUAAAAAAAUAAGUUGAAGAGGCACAUGCUCUGAGCUACCUCUCCAUUUGGAUGUGAAACCCAUCCUGCUUAGCAAAUGCUUUGGAAAGUGCUUGUUCACGCAGUCAUAGGCUUUCUCUUGUUCAAUCUUUAGAAGAAAUCCUGUAUUGCUCUUCUUAAAGAUAUCUUUUUUUCUUUUUUUUGAAGGCUAAUUGAAUUUUAUUAAAAAAUUGCCCAACAAUUACUAAGAACAACAAAGAAUAAAAAGAAAGAAACAAAAAAUGAGAGCAACAGUUAGCCCUGAGAGGGAAAAGACUUUACACCAUUGGUCUUGCUGACAAUUCUAAUACAUCCCUUUUGAUUUUUGCAUCUACAAUUUGCGGAUGAUACUCUUUUAUUCUGUGAUGCCUCACCGGUCAUGGUGGAGAAUUUGUGCAUCAUUGUAAAAUGCUUUGAAGUUGUUUCAGGGCUCAAAAUCAAUCUUGCAAACAACAAGAUGUUCGGGGUGCGGAUGGAGUCUCAAGAAGUGGAGAGGUAAUGAGUGGCUUGUAGAGAUGGAGGACCCGAUCUUCGUUGGCAAGGAACCGACAUGGACCCAAGUUGAAGAUGUUGCAUAUGGAUCGAUACCUAAUGAAUGUACUUCCACUCGAAGGCGGAUGAGGGGUGGUGAGAAGUAGCAGUCAACCGGUGGAAGAGAUUGAUGAGAUAGAAGAAGGAUGAGAUGAUGAUCAAGCUGAAGAUCAACCAAUGAAUGUUGAUGAAGUAUUAGCAUGUUCGGAUGAUGAAGAAGCAAAAAAAGAUGAAGUAUAUGUAAAAGAAGGAGAUGACUUUGUUGACGACGACGAUGACAACGAUGGUGGUGAUCAAAUGCUACAAUGGCAAAUGGAUCAAUGUAUAUAGCAUUUAGUAUUAUUUUGUCAGUGUAUAACUUGUAAAUUAUUAUAUUUUCAUUUUCUAAUUUCUAUGAUAAUAAAAAGAUAGCUUGUUGAUUGUAUUGUUA